UACGUAGGGUGCAAGCGUUGCUCGGAAUUAUUGGGCGUAAAGAGCUCGUAGGUGGCGGGUCACGUCGGGUGUGAAAGCCCGGGGCUCAACCCCGGGACUGCAUUCGAUACGGGUCUGCUAGGGUCCGGCAGGGGAGACUGGAAUUCCUGGUGUAGCGGUGAAAUGCGCAGAUAUCAGGAAGAACACCUAUGGCGAAGGCAGCUCUCUGGGACGGUACUGACGCUGAGACGCGAAAGCGUGGGGAGCGAACAGG
rnacentral:rRNA from 1 species